rnacentral:rRNA from 1 species
CCGUAACUAUAACGGUCCUAAGGUAGCGAAAUUCCUUGUCGGGUAAGUUCCGACCCGCACGAAAGGCGUAAUGAUUUGAGCACUGUCUCGACAAUGCAUCCGGUGAAAUUGAAGUACCAGUGAAGAUGCUGGUUACCCGCGCCAGGACGGAAAGACCCCAUGGAGCUUUACUCCAGUUUGGUACUGGGAUUCGGUACUGCAUGUACAGGAUAGGUGGGAGACUAAGAACUUGGGACGCCAGUUUCAAGGGAGUCGCUGUUGGGAUACCACCCUUGCAGUAUUGGGUUUCUAACCAGCCGCCGUGACCCGGCGGUGGGACAAUGCCAGACGGGGAGUUUGACUGGGGCGGUCGCCUCCGAAAGGGGAUCGGAGGCGCCCAAAGGUUCCCUCAGAAUGGUUGGAAACCAUUCGAAGAGUGCAAAGGCAGAAGGGAGCUUGACUGCGACACCGACGGGUGGAGCAGGUACGAAAGUAGGACUUAGUGAUCCGGUGGUAUGAAAGUGGGAUUGCCAUCGCUCAACGGAUAAAAGCUACCCUGGGAUAACAGGCUUAUCACUCCCAAGAGUUCACAUCGACGGAGUGGUUUGGCACCUCGAUGUCGGCUCAUCGCAUCCUGGGGCUGUAGUAGGUCCCAAGGGUUGGGCUGUUCGCCCAUUAAAGCGGUACGCGAGCUGGGUUCAGAACGUCGUGAGACAGUUCGGUCCCUAUCCGGCGCGGGCGGAGGAUAUUUGAGAGGAGCUGUCCUUAGUACGAGAGGACCGGGAUGGACGGACCACUGGUGUAUCUGCUGUCGACCAACGGCAUGGCAGAGUAGCCAAGUCCGGAAGGGAUAAACGCUGAAGGCAUCUAAGCGUGAAGCCCCCCUCAAGAUGAGAUAUCCCUCCUUCGGGAGUAAGACCCCUUGAAGACUACAAGGUAGAUAGGGCAGAGGUGGAAGUGUGGCAACACAUGGAGCUGACUGUUACUAAUAGGUCGAGGGC